rnacentral:rRNA from 1 species
ACCGGGAUUGCCUUAGUAACGGCGAGUGAAGCGGCAAAAGCUCAAAUUUGAAAUCUGGUACCUUCGGUGCCCGAGUUGUAAUUUGGAGAGGGCAACUUUGGGGCCGUUCCUUGUCUAUGUUCCUUGGAACAGGACGUCAUAGAGGGUGAGAAUCCCGUGUGGCGAGGAGUGCGGUUCUUUGUAAAGUGCCUUCGAAGAGUCGAGUUGUUUGGGAAUGCAGCUCUAAGUGGGUGGUAAAUUCCAUCUAAAGCUAAAUAUUGGCGAGAGACCGAUAGCGAACAAGUACAGUGAUGGAAAGAUGAAAAGAACUUUGAAAAGAGAGUGAAAAAGUACGUGAAAUUGUUGAAAGGGAAGGGCAUUUGAUCAGACAUGGUGUUUUGUGCCCUCUGCUCCUUGUGGGUAGGGGAAUCUCGCAUUUCACUGGGCCAGCAUCAGUUUUGGUGGCAGGAUAAAUCCAUAGGAAUGUAGCUUGCCUCGGUAAGUAUUAUAGCCUGUGGGAAUACUGCCAGCUGGGACUGAGGACUGCGACGUAAGUCAAGGAUGCUGGCAUAAU